AUCUUUCUAGUAUUAAAUCAAUACAAAUGACUUCCAAUUAUUUAAUCUUGGUUAAAAUCCAAGGAAAGAUA
rnacentral:tRNA from 1 species